GCAUGCUUCUUUUCAGUUCAAAAGAACCCUAUAUCCUGAUGAUGGAGCUGAGGGGAGUCAUUGUUUGCAAAGCAAAUCCGUGACACUUCUGCUUCUGAAGUGUAGAGCCUAGGAAGGAUUGGAAAAUGGAGAUUGUCUCACUGACUUUCCCUGUCAUGCACAUCUGAGCUUCUGAGUGAAAUAUAUUGUUUUAAGAGAAGGUGAACAGCAGCGUAAAUCAAGUAUGAGCAGGUCGUUCUAUGGCUAUUUUCCUUCGGAAAACAUAACAGUAAUGAGAUUUAGAAGGUGGAAGCAAGGCUCGCAGUAGAGAAAUGCAUGAUGGUGACUGACAACCAAAGCAAGAGGAAUAAAGGGACCCAUGUUUUCAAUUAA